rnacentral:snoRNA from 1 species
CAUUUACUUAUUUAAUUAUUUAUUGAGUAGGAAUCUCAUUCUGUUGCCCAGGCUGGAGU